GCCCUGGUAGUGUAACCGUUAAGCACUCGGCUGCUAACUGAAAGGGUGGUGGUUCAAACCCACCCCAGCA
rnacentral:tRNA from 1 species